UGGUCUGCGAACUGAUGAAACCCCCAA
rnacentral:piRNA from 1 species